rnacentral:lncRNA from 1 species
CUUUAUGUCGAUCCUGUGCCAGUACCAUACAGUCUUGAUUACUGAAGUUUGUGUCACAGUUUAAAUUCAUGAAAUGUGAGUUCUCCAACUUUGUUCCUUUUCAAGAUUGAUUUGGCCAUGCUGGGUCCCUUGCAUUUCCGUACGAAUUGUAGGAUCAGCUUGUCAGUUUCAACAAAGAAGCCAAGUAGGAUUCUGAGAGGGAUUGUGUUGAAUCUGUAGAUCAACCUGGGGAGUAUUAGCAUCUUAACAAUAUUGUCUUCCACCUAUGAACAUGGGCAAACUUUGUGUAAAUGGUCAGAUUGUAAGUAUUUUGGGCUGUGUGGGCACAGUGUCUCUGUCACAGCUACGCAGCUCUGCCAUUGUAGCAUGAAAGUAGCCAUAAGCAAUAUGUAUGAGUGUCUGUGUUCCAAUAGAAUUUUAUUAAUGACAAGGAAAUUUGAAUUUCAUAUAAUUUUCACCUGUCAUGAGCCUCUGCCUCCCAGGUUCAAGACAUCCUCCUGCAGGAACUCCCUAGUAGCUGGGAUUACAGGCAUGCGCCACCACACCCGGCUAAUUUUGUAUUUUUAGUAGAGACGGGGUUUCUCCAUGUUGGUCAGGCUGGUCUUGAACUCCUGACCUCAGGUGAUCCACCCGCCUUGACCUCCCAAAGUGCUGGGAUUACAGGGUGUGAGCCACCACACCCUGCUGGAAAGCAUUUCUUUUUUGGCUGUUUUUGUUUUUUUUUUAAACUAGUGUUGAUCCUAGAUUUUAAUAUGCAUAUACAAGCAUUUAAAUGUGUCAUUUUUUGUUUGCUUGACUGAGAUCACAUUACAUGUGUAUUUUUUUUACUUAACAAUGUGUCAUAGAUAUUGUUCUACCUUGAGAAGUCCCCAUCCCCAUCACCUCCAUUUCCUGUAAAUAAGUCAAC